GAUGAACGCUGGCGGCGUGCCUAAUACAUGCAAGUCGAGCGAACAGACGAGGAGCUUGCGCCUCUGACGUUAGGGGCGGGCGGGUGAGUAACACGUGGAUAACCUACCUAUAAGACUGGGAUAACUUCGGGAAACGGGAGCUAAUACCGGAGAACAUAUUGAACCGCAUGGUUCAGUAGUGAAAGACGGUGUUGCUGUCACUUAUAGAUGGAUCCGCGCCGCAUUAGCUAGUUGGUAAGCUAACGGCUUACCAAGGCGACGAUGGGGAGCCGACCUGAGAGGCGGAUCGGCCGCCUGGGAACUUGUACACGCUCCAUGCUCCUGCGGGAGGCCGCAGUAUGGUACGGUCCGCAGUGGGCGGAAGUCUGACGGAGCAACGCCGCGUGUUUGGUGACGGUCUUCGGUUCGUAAUGAUCUGUUAUUGGUGGAGAACAAAUGUGUAAGUAGCUAUGCCCGUCUUGACGGUACCUGGUCAGAAAGCCCCGGCUAACUACGUG
rnacentral:rRNA from 1 species